CUUUUUGGCCAUCUUCAGCAGGAUGAGUCUCACGAGUUCUCCCAUGUACAUCCCACUCACCAUCUUUUCAAAACUGGGAAGGACACAACCAGAGUUACAAAGGUUUUGAGCUCCAGGUGGUUCGUUCAGAGAUUAUUACACUCACCUUGAGAAAGGAUGUGCAAACGAAGGCCUGUUUCUUGUUAAUUGGGGCCGUGCAGAACACAUAGCGGGUCCGCAGAUUCAGAGGAAUAUGCUGAAUCAUAUCCGCCAGGAAUUUGAAGUCAUCAAUGUUGCAGACAAAGUAAAUUCCAUCCACUUGUGCAAGACUGACAAAUAUAUC